GCCCCCAUCGUCUAGUGGACUAGGACGUCGGGUUCUCAUCCCGGAAACACGGGUUCGAUUCCCGUUGGGGGUGCCA
rnacentral:tRNA from 1 species